ensembl:miRNA
GAGGUAGGAGGAUUGCUUGAGCCCAGGAAGUUGAGUCUGCAGUGAGCUGUGAUCAAACCACUGCACUCCAGCCUGAGUGACAGAGCAAGACCCUGUCU